AUUGAACGCUGGCGGCAGGCCUAAAACAUGCAAGUCGAGCGCUCGUAGCAAUACGGGAGCGGCAGACGGGUGAGUAACACGUGGGAACGUACCCUUUGGUUCGGAACAACCCAGGGAAACUUGGGCUAAUACCGGAUAAGUCCGCAAGGAGAAAGAUUUAUCGCCGAAGGAUCGGCCCGCGUCUGAUUAGCUAGUUGGUGAGGUAAUGGCUCACCAAGGCGACGAUCAGUAGCUGGUCUGAGAGGAUGAUCAGCCACAUUGGGACUGAGACACGGCCCAAACUCCUACGGGAGGCAGCAGUGGGGAAUAUUGGACAAUGGGGGCAACCCUGAUCCAGCCAUGCCGCGUGAGUGAUGAAGGCCCUAGGGUUGUAAAGCUCUUUUGUGCGGGAAGAUAAUGACGGUACCGCAAGAAUAAGCCCCGGCUAACUUCGUGCCAGCCGCCGCGGUAAUAC
rnacentral:rRNA from 1 species